rnacentral:lncRNA from 1 species
UCGCGAAUAAAUUUUAAGAUGUCCACUUUAGUACUCGAUAAAUUAGGGAAAUUUAGAAAUAUAAUAAAACUUGCUUUAAGAUAUAAAUCCUUAAACAACAUACUAUUACAUGUAUACAUAUGUUAUGUAACAAUAGUUGGUUUUUACAAACAUAGGAAUCAUUAUUAAUCUGAGACCUUAAUGUGUCAUGUUGAAUAUCACCCGCCAUAAUCUCUAAUGAAUUUGAUAUGACUUACUCAGUGAUAUAAUUAACAAUAGUUGGUUAUUACCUACUAUUUUAUUUAUUGAAUUUGUGUUGAGAAUGAAAGAUUCCUUUACAAGAUUUAAA